GAUGAACGCUGGCGGCGUGCCUAAUACAUGCAAGUCGAGCGAACGGACGAGAAGCUUGCUUCUCUGAUGUUAGCGGCGGACGGGUGAGUAACACGUGGAUAACCUACCUAUAAGACUGGGAUAACUUCGGGAAACCGGAGCUAAUACCGGAUAAUCUUUUGAACCGCAUGGUUCAAAAGUGAAAUACGGUCUUGCUGUCACUUCUAGAUGGAUCCGCGCUGCAUUAGCUAGUUGGUAAGGUAACGGCUUACCAAGGCAACGAUGCAUAGCCGACCUGAGAGGGGGAACGGCGACACUGGAGGUGAGAGACGGGACAGAGACUGACGGGAGGCAGAAGUAGGGAAGGUACGGCAAUGGGCGAAAGACUGACGGAGCAACGGAGGGUGAGUGAUGAAGGGCUGCGGAUCGUAAAACGGUGUUAUUAGGGAAGAACAUAUGGUAAGUAACUGUGCAGAGAUUGACGGUACCGAAUCAGAAAGCCACGGCUAACUACGUG
rnacentral:rRNA from 1 species